rnacentral:rRNA from 1 species
GCCUACGGGGCGCAGCAGUGAGGAAUAUUGGUCAAUGGCCGGAAGGCUGAACCAGCCAAGCCGCGUGAGGGAGGAAGGCGCAGAGCGUCGCAGACCUCUUUUGCCGGGGAGCAAGCCUGAGCACGUGUGCCCAGGCGGAGAGUACCCGGAGAAAAAGCAUCGGCUAACUCCGUGCCAGCAGCCGCGGUAAUACGGAGGAUGCGAGCGUUAUCCGGAUUUAUUGGGUUUAAAGGGUGCGCAGGCGGGCCGUUAAGCCGGCGGUAAAAAUUCAGGGCUCAACCCUUUCGCGCC